GGCGGAGAAACUCCUUCUGUUGCCUGGAGACAAAAUUAACCCCGGCGUACUCCAGCAAUGCAGCAAACACGAAGAGCAGACACACGGCCAUCCAGAUAUCAAUGGCUUUCACAGAUUUCAUCAUCUGCUGUUAGAGCGCAGACAGCAGACGAGGUCACGGACCUGGAUGAGGUGACGUUCAGGAAUGAAGAUGCUGUUGACUUGACCACCUUAAAGGUGAGUGUCUGAAUCUGGCACGAGCAGCCACAGAAGCCAAAGCAGAGAUCUGAACUGUGGUGGGAAAUCUCCUUUUUCGACUGAAUAAAAGAAAAAGAUAAGUACAUAUUUUUCUUAGGGGGCUUCACUGACAUAUGAAAAUGUAAUGUUAGUGUUUAUGCAGAUAGUCCUGACAUGCAAACAAACAAUUUAAAAUGUUUUAUUUUGGGUAAAACUAAUCAAAAACUCUUCUUAUUAUUUAUUAAAGUUCACUCAAAGCUUGAAUUUUGUUUUGAAAGAUCAGAAUCUAUUGUGCACUACAGUAUCUAGUGACUGUAAACAAUUACAAAUUGGAUUGAACUUCAUGUGUGCUCAUCAAGUACUGAAAACUUACACAAAAUAUACAUUUAAAAAGUCAAAAAUAAGGGAAUAAAAAGUUAAAAAUGUGCCUGGAUAAAAGUGUAAAGUGUCCUUAAUAGUGUUUUAAAGUGAUUUUGCUUUGAUCCGGUUGGCUGUUCCACCGUUUUGGUGUCGCCGCUGAAGCAGCUUGAUCUCCGAGAGUUUUGAGCCUCAAGAACAGCCAGAAGGAACCGAUUUGAAAACCAGGACGUUCGAGCUGUCGAAGGAGUCUGUGGGAGCUCAGAUAAACAGGAAGGCACUAAACCUUUGAAAUGGUUAAAGCACUGUUGUGCUUUAUUUUUAGCUGUAUUCUGAAAAUGAAGGCAGUGUGAGAAGGAAAGGAACAACGCUGGGUUUGUAUUUUGGACAGUUUGAGGGCGUUUCAGUGAUGACAAACAGCAACACAGAGGAGGAGGAAGUCAUCUAAAUGUGUGAAGUCUUUUCUUGGUAGUUUAGCUUCUAUAUAUGACAGAAGUGUGAGUAUAAAUAAACUGCUCUUCUAUCACUGAACUUAUUUGAUCUUCAACCUCCAAACACAUUUUUUUCAUACAAAUCACAUAUGGGGUCAAAGCAGGAUCAGUUUGUAAAUUUAAAAAAUAGAUGUUGCAAAUUUAAAAUGAAACAAUUACAUUUUAAAACUGCUUUAAGCUCGAUAUACAUUGUAGACCUAAAGAAAAAUAAAUAUUUUUAAUAAAAAAAA